AUUGGGACAGGCAUUGGAAGGCUCAUGUGAAAUCAUUCCAUUUCAUAUUCAAAAGGGCUCCAGUCCUCUUGAUCUUUGAUGUAUCCUAGCAACAGCUAUUUCAAUUUAGAGAGGAUGGGAAGGGCCACUGGUGUUGCCAAGGUUACCAGUAUUUCCUGCUGUCAUCGGAGGAAGUAACCUGUGUGUCGGAUCACAAUGGAAUUAGAUGCCCUGACACCUAUGCUGCCUGUCUCUUGAAUACCCAGAUAAUGAGAGACUCUUCCAUAUCAAAAAGUUUUACCAAACUGUC